ACACAGAGAGGGAGGUCCGGGGACGAGCCACACGGCCACCGGCCGCCGGCGAGGGCGGAGGCGGCCCCGGGGCCCGAGCGGGCCCGCUCCCCACUCACUGGGCACGAGCGCAAUUCCACCCAAAACGGACACCGGCGUGCCGGCGCCCACCCCGUCCGGCGGGGGGCGGCCGGCCGCGUCCGCCCGGCGGGCCCCCAGCGGGCCCGCCGCGGCCCCGACCCGAGGGGC
rnacentral:misc_RNA from 1 species